CGAUUGGCAGCGUCCUCUUGCGGCUGCCACCGUUAAACAUGGCUUUGACGUCUUCCCAGGCAUGGGCCACGUCGUCCGCACCUGAACCCCCUUUGUUACUUGCAGACAAUGGACAUAAAGUGUGCUACUGCAGAGAACAGAGGACAGCCAGACACACUCCAUCAGGAAUAUUCUGUGUUUAAGAGGUGAGAGGGGGUGGAAAAGCUGUGGCUGCUCAGAUGAGCAAUGUAUCAUUAUCCAGAGUCCUGCAUCCCCUCCUAACUGCAGCACCGCAGGCUAGGCAGCCUUGCGUGAGCUCCAUCUACUGAGCCAGGCAAUCUGGCCAGCAGACAUGCAUGUAUUCAUAAUGGCAGCAGCCUUUCAUGUAGGAGAGAGAAAGAGAGAGAGAGGGAUGAAAGCUCUUUUGGAGGGCACUAAUGCUCAUCAUUACUAAAUGCUACUCACAUAACAGCUUAUCCCACCCACAGAAUGUGACUAGUAAAUACAUAUUACUACAGCGGUUCAAUUGGAUUUAAAGCAAAGAGGCUGAGUGGUAAUUACUAU